AUUGAACGCUGGCGGCAGGCCUAACACAUGCAAGUCGAGCGGAUGAGAGGAGCUUGCUCCUCGAUUCAGCGGCGGACGGGUGAGUAAUGCCUAGGAAUCUGCCUAGUAGUGGGGGACAACGUUUCGAAAGGAACGCUAAUACCGCAUACGUCCUACGGGAGAAAGUGGGGGAUCUUCGGACCUUACGCUAUUAGAUGAGCCUAGGUCGGAUUAGCUAGUUGGUAGGGUAAAGGCCUACCAAGGCGACGAUCCGUAACUGGUCUGAGAGGAUGAUCAGUCACACUGGAACUGAGACACGGUCCAGACUCCUACGGGAGGCAGCAGUGGGGAAUAUUGGACAAUGGGCGAAAGCCUGAUCCAGCCAUGCCGCGUGUGUGAAGAAGGCCUUCGGGUCGUAAAGCACUUUAAGUUGGGAGGAAGGGCUCAUAGCGAAUACCUGUGAGUUUUGACGUUACCAACAGAAUAAGCACCGGCUAACUUCGUGCCAGCCGCCGCCGUAAGAC
rnacentral:rRNA from 1 species